UCCGAAAGCUCCUACUCAAUGAGUAGGUACUUAAUUUCAAUAAGUACUUACUUAACGAGCGCUAAAAGAGUAGGUACUUAACAGCCAAAUCUCGUUGAGUAUGAACCAAGAGCUUAGAACCCAAGAGGCGACACUUUGAUACUUUUUAGGUAACAGCCACUAGAUGGCGCUCCGGUAGCGCGGCCGCCAUUAUGGGCUGAAAAUACUAACUGGACCAUAGAGUCCUUCACAUCUUACGCACCCAAAAUCGGCGAAUUUCACUGCCAAAUCAGAAGCGCAAUAGAACAGUUUUUUUUUUAAAUUAAGUCACCAGUAUUGUAUGGCUCCCACAGUAAAUGUUGUAUUGUUUUAUAGCCUAUAUGUUUUAUUUUACCAGUUGUGGAAUCCAACCAUUCAACCAUCUGAGGUAAUGUUAGCCUACUUUAUUGAGUAUUUCCAUUUUAUGCAACUUUACACAUUUAUUAAUAGUAAAUUAAUAAUUAAUAAAUUUAAGAUCAUCAUGUUUGCAUGCGAACAAUAUAUUUCAGACCUAGUGGAGUAAUAGUAAUAAUGUCUAGGUCUGAAUUGAAAUAUAUAUAUUGUACGUUUUAAUGGAUCACGCUACAAACAUAACGAUCUUAUAAUACAUGAUGCAUUGCUGUGUCCGUUAUCGCAUAAAUUCCCACUUUUGGACACUUUUGCUUUAAUGGACAUUAGACAACACUGCAAAAUCAAGCUGUUAUAUUCAUAUAAUUAUUGUCCAACAUUCCCAAUUUUUCUGAUGCAUGUCCUUAAUUUAAUUUCAUAUGUUGGUAUUAAUUCAGUGUUUAUAAGCCUUUUAAAGAAUUGUAACCCAAACUGACUGGGUUUCUAGAGAGCAAAGGUUUUGUGAAAAAAGUGGAAGAGUGUAAAAUAAACUGUAAAAAGGAUUUGAUGGUCACUAGUGAUAGUAUUUUAUUCUGUGUUCUCAUUAUUAAGGUUGGAUUUCAGCUUUAAUGUACGUUUUUUUUUUAACAAAGCAGCUGAUAUUGCCAUAGAAACUAGUGGACAGCCGAUUCGCUUUCACCCCAAAAUGGCGGAAACGCAGGGCGUCUGCUGGGCGCCGGUGUUUCAAUGGAACUAAGCUAAGCUGUGUCCCAAUUCAGGGGCUACGCACUUCGGAGUGCAUGAAAGGGGUGGGGCUUUAGAGUGGAAGGUUGCCAGAUCUGCGCAACAAAGCCAUCCCAAAAGUAGCGUAAUCACAGCACAAGUGUAAAAGUAUCCCAAUCCCAGACGUGGCAACAAUGAGCCGAGCGUCGUUACAUGGCUAGCGGCUGUGUGACAGACAGCUGACAGUUGACGUUUGUGUGUGCAUUUUAAAGUUUUAUGACUUUCUAUUGGGUUUUGACAUGCUUCACGACAUUGAGUGACAGGUGCACUAACACCUCACAGCACCAGUAACUCGAUAACCCUACCUAGUGCGGUUUUCCUCAGUGUUUGCAAUGUCCGCACAAAGAAGACGUCGGACGCUUGCUCGAAGAUCUCGCCUUUGGAGAAGACUGUUGAUUUUAUACUCAGAAAAUGCGGUGAUCCGCACAUCCCACUGCCAUCUCAACACAGCUGUGCCUUUAUUUUGAUAAAGCAGCUGACCACCGUGAACACCUUCGCCUGUCUUUGCCAUCCAUCAUGUCCCUCACUGUUGCUCUUCUCAAUGGGGACAUUGUUGACCCAGAGGAUGAGGAAGACCAUGAUAAUGGACCCUUGAACCCCUCAACCUUAAAGCAAGAGUGGGAGAAGAUGUGCGGGACAAUCUGGCUGCCGCUGCUCCAAACAUUCAUGUGCUCUAUGACUACCUGUAAACAUUUAAACAGAUUAAAACGUUUUACAAUUCA